rnacentral:lncRNA from 1 species
CUUUGCUUAACGGCGUUCUUUACUUUACUUAACGGCGUUCUUUACUUUACUUAACGGCGUUCUUUACUUUACUUAACGGCGUUCUUUACUUUACUUAACGGCUUUCUUUACUUUACUUAACGGCUUUGUUUUCUUUACUUAACGGCGUUCUUUACUUAACCAGGGAAGUCCCAUUCAGGCAGUCUCUUUUUUUUUCAAGAAGGCAUCAAACAACAACAAAUAUCUUCAGUGAAAUGUUUCAGUAUACGGUGUAGUAUUUGGGUAUCGUUUGACAUAGCCCGUUUUUAGGAAUGUCAAACGUCCACUAUAAUAUGCCUUGUGGCGAACACUUGACACCCAGCAUCAUAACACGUUAUGACAUUGUCAUAACCAUGUCAUAACAGUUGACUUAACUUGUCAUAAUAUGUUCAUAACACUGUCAUGACAUACUUAGACCUGUUGUGACAUAUAUUGUGUUAUUUUGAGGCUGGUUAUAACACCUCCAUAAGGGUCCAAACCUACAACACAAGGCAAAACAUACCAUUACAUCAGAGACUACUGGUGAACAGGUUGUUAAAAUGUUACAUAACAUUCUCUGAAAUUGCCGUCAUAUUGACGUCAGACAUGCACCUUCCCCAGUGCUCUGUUUCUGAUGACUGGGAUGAACACAGGAGCAGAUUUCAGGAGCAGAUUUCAGGAGCAGGACAAUCUCUUUUCCACUGAUGACUGACGUAAGGACAUGUACGUGAUACGACUAUCUGGCUUAUAUGGUUAUGACGGUCAUAAUGCUUCAUGACAGUGUUAUAAAGUGUAUUUUCUACAAGUUAUUUAAAAUAUGAAAAAACAUGACUUUAAGGAAUUCAUUACUACAACAACAACAAAAGAUUUAAGAAAGCAAACUUUCAAAUGAAAGAACUUCUUGUCAGGAAAAAAACUAAUUUGAAUAAAUGUUGGUUUUGACACUACUAUGUAGGUGUUAUGACAGCUGUUAGGACAUAUGACAUGGUUAUGAUGCGUUAUGACACUGGGUGUCAAGUGAAGUGCCAGCGCCUUGUGUUUCCACUCAUGCUGUGAGAUCAUUUAAAAGCUUUCUGCACCAAGCCUUACAGGUGAACCAAGCUGAAUGAAAUGCCUUCAAAUCUCUUUCUAUAAGUGACCUCUUUUGCUUCUUUCUCUGUAUAGCCUCAGUCAAUUUUCAUGUCCCAAAUGGCAACCAAUUCCCUAUAUAGUGCACUACUUUUGACCAGUGUCCUAGUAAGUGCUCGAAAUGGGGAAUAGGGUGCCAGUGAAAAGUCAGGGGUUCUGUCCAGGAAGGAACAGUCAGAUGGUGACGAGUCAGGGGUUCUGUCCAGGAAGGAACAGUCAGAUGGUGACGAGUCAGGGGUUCUGUCCAGGAAGGAACAGUUAGAUGGUGACGAGUCAGGGGUUCUGUCCAGGAAGGAACAGUCAGAUGGUGACGAGUCAGGGGUUCUGUCCAGGAAGGAACAGUCAGAUGGUGACGAGUCAGGGGUUCUGUCCAGGAAGGAACAGUCAGAUGGUGACGAGUCAGGGGUUCUGUCCAGGAAGGAACAGUCAGAUGGUGACGAGUCAGGGGUUCUGUCCAGGAAGGAACAGUCAGAUGGUGA